CAAAUCUUGACAUCCUUUGACAACUCUAGAGAUAGAGCCUUCCCCUUCGGGGGACAAAGGGACAGGUGGUGCAUGGUUGUCGUCAGCUCGUGUCGGGAGAUGUUGGGUUAAGUCCCGCAACGAGCGCAACCCUUAAGCUUAGUUGCCAUCAUUAAGUUGGGCACUCUAAGUUGAUUGCCGGUGACAAACCGGAGGAAGGUGGGGAUGACGUCAAAUCAUCAUGCCCCUUAUGAUUUGGGCUACACACGUGCUACAAUGGACAAUACAAAGGGCAGCGAAACCGCGAGGUCAAGCAAAUCCCAUAAAGUUGUUCUCAGUUCGGAUUGUAGUCUGCAACUCGACUACAUGAAGCUGGAAUCGCUAGUAAUCGUAGAUCAGCAUGCUACGGUGAAUACGUUCCCGGGUCUUGUACACACCGCCCGUCACACCACGAGAGUUUGUAACACCCGAAGCCGGUGGAGUAACCUUUUAGGAGCUAGCCGUCGAAGGUGGGACAAAUGAUUGGGGUGAAGUCGUAACAAGGUAGCCGUAUCGGAAGGUGCGGCUGGAUCACCUCCUUUCUAAGGA
rnacentral:rRNA from 1 species